AACUACCGAAUGGGAUACUAAAAAUAAAUUUUGAUACAUAUACGAGACAUGAUGGUUGGGUAGGGCUCAGUGUGAUUUACUAGGAUUGAAAUAUAAAUAUUAUUUUUCCAUUUUCACUUAUAAAAAAAAUGAUAUGCAAUUUAUUAUAUACUUUUGAAGCGGUCUAAUUUAUUACACAUUGAUAUAAUUUUCUUAAGGUAUUU
rnacentral:lncRNA from 1 species